rnacentral:rRNA from 1 species
UACAGAGGUCUCAAGCGUUGUUCGGAUUCAUUGGGCGUAAAGGGUGUGUAGGUGGCGCCGUAAGUCGGUGUGAAAUUUCGGAGCUUAACUCCCGAAACUGCAUUCGAUACUGCGGUGCUUGAGGACUGGAGAGGAGACUGGAAUUCAUGGUGUAGCAGUGAAAUGCGUAGAGAUCAUGAGGAAGACCAGUGGCGAAGGCGGGUCUCUGGACAGUUCCUGACACUGAGACACGAAGGCCCAGGGGAGCAAAACGGG